rnacentral:rRNA from 1 species
GCAGGCGCGCAAAUUGCCCAAUGUCAAAACAAAACGAUGAGGCAGCGAAAAGAAAUAGAGCAGUCAGUCCAUUUGGAUUGACUUUUCAAUGGGGGAUAUUUAAACCCAUCCAAUAUCGAGUAACAAUUGGAGGACAAGUCUGGUGCCAGCACCCGCGGUAAUUCCAGCUCCAAAAGCGUAUAUUAAUGCUGUUGCUGUUAAAGGGUUCGUAGUUGAACUGUGGGCUGUGUAGGUUUGUUCCUGGUCGUCCCGUCCAUGUCGGAUUUGGUGGCCCAGGCCCUUGCAGCCCGUGAACAUUCAAAGAAACAAGAAACACGGGAGUGGUUCCCUUCCUGAUCUACGCAUGUCAUGCAUGCCAGGGGGCGUCCGUGAUUUUUUACUGUGACUAAAGAAGUGUGACUAAAGCAGUCAUUCGACUUGAAUUAGAA